CAUUCCUUCGUCACACACACACUCACAGCAAAUCAAAUAAUUUAUUCAAGCAGUGAUACUUUAAAAUAUUACCAUACUCCCUCCGUUUCCAGUUUUGAGUACAAACUUUGAGUUCGGCGGAAUUAAGUAUUGUUUUAGCCUAGUUUGGUAGCUCGUAGAAACCAUAUUACCACAUAAAAGCCCAUAAAACUGGUCAUUUUCCUAUCUUCUCCCCCAUUUGGUGGCGGUUGAUUUUGUCGGAGAACCCGGCACAAAAGUUCCGGAACUCGGUGAUAUCCACAAUAAAAUCGGCGAGUCUGGCAUAAUACUAUCGAAGAAGUUGUGGUAUAAAGUUUUCUCGGCUUCGCCGGCUUCGUCUUCUCUCGUUUUAUGCCCAAAUUGCCCUCGUUGUUUUCGAGCUCUACCCAGCAUAAUACCUAUCCAUCACGAGUUGCUCAUUGGUGGGGCAAAAUUCAGGUUUCCGACCUGCACAAGAUCCACAAAAAUUCCUCGUCUAAGUGUCGACCCUGCUGUGUAUGAAGUUGCUGUUGAUAUGGUUGUGUGUUUGAUUGCUGGUGUUUGUGAUGAUCAGAUGCUGUCUUUACCAUAACCUUUUGGCUGUGUGGUUGAUUGCCGAUUGCCCCUGCUUUCAAUCGGGAAGGAUGGAGGAAGAGAUUGUAUUGCACUGAAGCAAGUUGAAGAGGGAAUGGCCUUUUCAGGGAGGAAAACGAAGACUGCAAGGUCUCAAGGAAAGAAGGUUCAGAUCACAAUUCAGAAGGAGUAUUCAAGGUUGUUAGGAAAUUUAGCUUGGGCCUAUAUGCAACAGAAAGAUUUCAAAUCUGCUGAAGAACAUUACAGACUUCCCUCGUAUGUGAGCUUUCGCUGUCCCUUCGAAGCCAUCAAAACAACUUCACGAGGAGGAGGAUGUUGAGCUUGGAUUGGUGAUGAAAGGAAAGGAUGGUGCACAUGUUUAUAUGGAGGGAAGGGGGAGAAGAUGUACGCCCCAAUCUGCAGAUAUGCAAGGACGACGGAGGGUAAGGGUGACCUUUCAUUUGAAAAAGGGAGGGCAUAUUUGUCAUUACAGUCCAUAAUAUAAUUUUCUAAUAUAAUGACUAAUGCCUACCAAAUGAUGUAUUAAGUCACAAAACAUUUCUAUCAAACACCAUCAUAAGUAUGAUUAGCUAUUUAAAAUUAUGGAAAAAGCCACUAUAUGGGAACUUAAUAAAACCUCAGCAAUGCUUACAAUCGCACUCUCACCUCAUUAGAGAGAAGAAAGUUUCUUAAAUUAAAAUGUUCAUAUUCUUUGGGGACGGAUGAAAAAGGAAAUAGUGCAUACCAUGAGCGGACCCACAUAGAGAAAGGGUGGGGCUUUAGCCCUUAAUGAAUUAAAUUUUUUUAACAUUUUUCUUUUAUAAAUUUUCCUAUGUUAUACGUAUAUUUAUAUUAAAACUCUUAUUAAUCAUAUAAAUUACUAAAAAAAUAUUUUUAAACUAUAUUUUGAAAAUAUAGUCCUUACUAAUGUUCAUUUUUACGUUCGUCCUUGGACUGUAUACUCUUUACGAACUGAGGGAGUAUAUUUUUUUUGUUAUGUGUUUCCCAUGUGGACGAGCUCCCCAACUACCAAGAAAUACACUAUAAGUCUAUAAGUAAUUGUUUAUUACAGUAUAAAGCUUUGAGGAUAUGAUUAUGUAAACAAAAUAACUUUACAUCUCCACACAACGUCCAACGAGUACAUAAUGAUAUAGUACUACUUAUAUCAAUAUUUUAUAAAUUGAAUAUUGUCUUUAUUCACAUCCUUAUAGAUAAAAAAGUGUGUGACUAAUAUUAAUGGUUUCCGUGUUCAAAUUUUAUUUGACAUUAAUUAAAUUAUAUAAAAAUCAUUUGCAAAAGAAAAAAAUUAAGUAUGACUAAUUUAUUUUAAAUGAAUAAUGCAUAAAUCUUCAUAACUACAGGGUUAUUAGUUGAAUCAAUUGUGAGUAGUAGAUUAGAUUUGUUUUUUCAAAUUAAAAAAAAUUCAAAUCUUAUCUAUAUACUAUGAAUAACAGAUAGGAUAUAGAGUUAUUAUUUUAUCACAAGUUUAAUUUUGAGCCACAUGGCUUAAAACUUAAUCUAGUACAUCUAUCUAAUUAUAUCCCUUUUAUCAUUGUAGAAAUAAAAAAGUAUGUGAAUACAAGAAAUAAAGUGGGCAGCAAUGAUGGAGGUGUGGUGGCUAAGCUAUGAUGCUAUCCACCACAAAACUCCUCUAUUUUAAACUCUUAAUCAAGUUUUAAUUUUUAUCAAUUAUAAAAUGUUUUAACUUCCUACAUUUCAUCAAUUAAUUUGUAUUUCUUUUUUGUAUUCAGUGAUGUCUAAAGAUAAAUGAUUCAUUUUUGUUCCUUUCUCUAAAAAUAAUAAAUCUCUCUCGAUUUUCUCUCAUAAUUUAUUUUUUAAUACUUCCAUGACUAAAUCAAUGGCUGACUUUGUCAACUAGAAUAGACAUUCGACAUCACAUUCAAAAGAAAAAGCCAUGUAGACAUUAGAAAAACAUGACAUAAUUGAAAAAAAAAAAAGUUACAAAACAUUGUGACAUUUUCUGGUAUUUUCCAAAUAAAAUAUUAAGUAAUAGUUCGAGUUUAGGUGAAGUGCAGCACCCUGCUCUUAGUGCAUCUUCCACUAUCUCCCAACUUUAUAAUCUUUUGCUCAAUCUCAGUGAUUGCUCAAAGCAAAAUCAAUGGAAACAAAACACACUACAUUUCUUCAUCUCUUCUUCUUCACCCUCCUUACCCUCCUCACAUCUCCAAUCAACGCCGCCUCCCUCAACGCAACGGCACCCUCUCCAUCGCCAUGCACAGGCUCGAUAGCCGAAUGCAACAGAGGCUUGGAGAUGCUGAUGGAAUCAGACAUCAGCAGAAGGUUUCUUGAACAGAAGAGAUACAUCUCACCGGGCGCUCUCAAGCCCGAUCAGCCUGUUUGCAACGGCGGAGCAGCAGGCCAGCCUUACUCCAGAGGCAGCGGCUGCAUCCCCGAGCCAUCCAAUCCUUACCACAGGGGAUGCUCCAGAUACUACCGAUGCAGGGAUGAUGCGUGACUCUUCUCAGUCCGCCCUCUCGUGCUUUCUUUUUUGUUUUUCGUUGUUUUCUUUUUUGUAUUUGCUGUUCAAGGUUCUCAUAUAGCAAUACAGAAUGCCUUCUGCAACAA